GGAUGUGAGGGCGAUCUGGCUGUGACAUCUGUCACCCCAUUGAUCACCAUAGUUGAUUUGGCUGAUCUGGCUGGCUGGGCGGGUGUCCCCUUGCUCCCUCACCGCUCCAUAUGCGUCCCUUCCGAAGCUGCGCGCUCUGUCGAAAAGGACAGGACGACCACCCCCGACAGAGGAGGACCAUUUCCUUGCUCAAGGGUAUAUGAGUAGCUGCGCUCCCCAGCUAGAACCUCCAAACAAGCUCCCAAGAUCACAGUUGAUAGCUAACAGAGCAGACCUCUCUGAUGCAGGUCUUUUCUACAAGCUCUGCAGAGUCCUUU
rfam:Fukomys damarensis contig73632, whole genome shotgun sequence.